rnacentral:rRNA from 1 species
UACGAAGGGUGCAAGCGUUGUUCGGAAUUACUGGGCGUAAAGGGCGCGUAGGCGGGCUUGUAAGUCGAUUGUGAAAUCCCUGGGCUUAACCCGGGAACUGCAGUCGAAACUGCAAAUCUUGAAUACCUGAGAGGAUGGCGGAAUUCCCGGUGUAGUAGUGAAAUACGUAGAUAUCGGGAAGAACACCUGAGGCGAAGGCGGCUAUCUGGCAGUGUAUUGACGCUGAGGCGCGAAAGCGUGGGGAGCAAACAGG